rnacentral:piRNA from 1 species
UGAACUUGCUAAAGCAGCUAGGAUUGGUCCC